rnacentral:rRNA from 1 species
GACGAACGCUGGCGGCGUGCCUAAUACAUGCAAGUAGAACGCUGAAGGAGGAGCUUGCUUCUCUGGAUGAGUUGCGAACGGGUGAGUAACGCGUAGGUAACCUGCCUGGUAGCGGGGGAUAACUAUUGGAAACGAUAGCUAAUACCGCAUAAGAGUAGAUGUUGCAUGACAUUUGCUUAAAAGGUGCAAUUGCAUCACUACCAGAUGGACCUGCGUUGUAUUAGCUAGUUGGUGGGGUAACGGCUCACCAAGGCGACGAUACAUAGCCGACCUGAGAGGGUGAUCGGCCACACUGGGACUGAGACACGGCCCAGACUCCUACGGGAGGGAGCAGUAGGGAAUCUUCGGCAAUGGACGGAAGUCUGACCGAACAACGCCGCGUGAGUGAAGAAGGUUUUCGGAUCGUAAAGCUCUGUUGUAAGAGAAGAACGAGUGUGAGAGUGGAAAGUUCACACUGUGACGGUAUCUUACCAGAAAGGGACGGCUAACUACGUG